AACGAACGCUGGCGACAGGCUUAACACAUGCAAGUCGAGCGCCCCGCAAGGGGAGCGGCAGACGGGUGAGUAACGCGUGGGAAUCUACCCAUCUCUACGGAAUAACGCAUGGGAACGUGUGCUAAUACCGUAUACGUCCUUCGGGAGAAAGAUUUAUCGGAGAUGGAUGAGCCCGCGUUGGAUUAGCUAGUUGGUGGGGUAAAGGCCUACCAAGGCGACGAUCCAUAGCUGGUCUGAGAGGAUGAUCAGCCACACUGGGACUGAGACACGGCCCAGACUCCUACGGGAGGCAGCAGUGGGGAAUAUUGGACAAUGGGCGCAAGCCUGAUCCAGCCAUGCCGCGUGAGUGAUGAAGGCCCUAGGGUUGUAAAGCUCUUUCACCGGUGAAGAUAAUGACGGUAACCGGAGAAGAAGCCCCGGCUAACUUCGUGCCAGCCACCGCGGUAAUAC
rnacentral:rRNA from 1 species